GGUAGUUAUGUCAAACUCUGGUUAUGCAGUCGGCUAUUUUCUAGGUCUAUUCAUUAGAGCAAAACGUUUUGCAACGGAAACGUUCUGCAACGACAACGAGUUUCUUAUUGGAUAAGUUUAGGUAGUCCCUCCCCGUUUUGGUCCGUUUGGUGUCAAGUGAAUACGACCCUGUGUAGUUUUGUAACACAGCAAUAAUGCAUUUACGCAAGUUCUAAAUCGAAAUCAUUAUGCGCAUUCUGAUGUUCAUACAUGCAGCAGAAACUACACCUUCAAAAGGUAACACCACCAGUCUCUAGCCGAGAUGACCCAGGUACGAAGGUCGGUGGGAGAGGCGCUGUGGGGAAUGUGUGCCGCCGACGCCAUGUCCAUGCCCGUGCACUGGUACUACAACAUCGACGACAUCAAGAGAGAUUUUGGAGGAUGGAUCACCGGCUUCAACGCACCCAACAACAGACACCCGUCCAGCAUCCUCACCCUCUCCAACUCAGCGGGGAGCGGUCGCACUGCAUGGUCCUCUGGUGGGAACAGACCCCAUGUUGUGGGUAGCGUAAUCCUCCAUAACAAGCUCAAGUUCUGGAAGGCAUCAGGCGGAUCGGUCCACUAUCACCAAGGUCUCCAGGCAGGUGAGAAUACCCUGAAUGCCAUCUGCUCCCUGAGGGUGGCACAGGCCCUGACAGGGGGGAAGUUUGCCAGCGUGGCAGAACCAGCGGCGAGGGGGGCGGUGCUGGCUGAUUACGUACACUUCAUGACCACGCCAGGAACACAUGGAGACACCUACGCAGAGUCCUUCCACAGAGCAUUCUUCUCCGACUGGCAAGACCCCAGACCCACUUCCUCCAGCAAGGUGUUGGAGUUUGCAGAGCAGCGCUACCAGCAGAAGAUGAACGUGUCAGUCCCCGACAGCCAGCUAGACGCUAUUGGCUGCCUCCCCAUGGCCAUCCCCUUUGUGCUUCUCUCUGCCACAGCCAAUGAGGACCAAGCUGUGUCUGCAGCGGUAGAGUUUGUCCGGCUCACCCACCCCCACCCCAAGGUGGAGAAAUAUGUGACGCUGUACGCCCGAGCCCUCCAUGCCACUCUGAAUGGGGAGUGUCUGAAGCAGCAAGCGGAGGCCGCCCUUAAGUCACCCGAGCUGGACGCAUGGGACACUUGCAAGCCCUACAUACAGAAAGCAGCCAGGUUUCCAACCUCUUCUGCAGAGGGGCUCAAGGUUCACCAGAGUGCAGUGGAAAUGCUUGGCAUGGCCUGCUACACCCGAGCUGCCCUCAGUAGUAUGUUCUACCUAGCACACGAAUUUCACAGUGACCCUCAUGGAGGGAUCCUGGCAAACACCAAUUGUGGCGGAGAGAACUGCAACAGGGGUUUUGCUUUGGGGGCUCUGCUGGGGGCGAGGGCAGGGUACACGGGUGGAUCUGUACCCCAGGAGUGGAAGGAUGGAUUGAGGAACGCACAGGAACCCAUCCAUGAAAUACUAAAGAUGCUCUGAGACUGCCCCCUAUAGGACAUAAAGCGCGCAUCAUAGCACUGACACACAUACCUUACCUCCGUUUGGUUGUUGUAACUCAUAACAACAUCUGUGUACCUUACAAUGAAAAAGAUUACUAUGCACAAAUAAUUACCUUGUGUAAAAGUGCUUAUUUUCCCAAUUUUACUCUUAAGGCCUUAAGGCCUUCCAGGUUUGCCUUGGUUUACUCCCCAGCUGAAAGCUCAGCAAUCUCUCUCGACCAUACUAGUAACUGUUCUCAACUGUGUCUCCAUUAAAUAUAUUUUAGAGAUCAGUUGGAGUUUACGCUCGCAAACUCCCUUAAAAUACCUUCGCUUGAAAAAUUUGAAAGAAGUGGAAAUAUUACUGUUUGUACCUCUUGAGACACCAUAGUCAGUACACUUCCUCAAAAUAGUCUCAAUUAAUUUAAGAUAAAUCUAUAAAUAGUUUUGUGUUUUUGCUGAGGAGGUCUUAGUUGCUCAAUUUUACAUCUAAGAUUUUUGGUACAGUAUUUCUUAACAUCUGCAUGAAAACUAGUCGUCUCUCGUUGAAUGACAACAAGCACUUCCUUGAAGAUUCCCUAUUGUUGACCAAUCACCGAUGAAGGGGCGUAGACUUCGGCUACGGAACUUUGACAAGCCUCAAGAAAAACGUGUGAUGAACAGCCGGGGGAAAAACCCUGCCGAACAACCAAAACGUCACAGAAUUUCAUCAGAAUAUAUGCGCGAUCUGUUUCGACUUGGAAUUAUACCGUAAACUUUAUACUCAUAUCGAGUUUGAGUUGAAGAAUAAAAAGUUAAACUUUUUUAAAGUACAUUUGAUCAUAUACAUUGAUUGCAGAAGCAGGUAGACAGUACCCUGCAACAUUUCUACAUUCCUUGUUUCCAAGUUAUGCAAAGGGAAACAUUGUGAUUUAUGGCAGUUCAAUGGUAACUUAUUUUAUCAGUCUUAUUUUCAUUUGGAUAGAACCUAAUGAUGUUAUUUGAAAGGUAAUAUGCCCUGCCAAAUUGUGUUUUAAAGUUGAAUAAAAGUAUUUAUGCUGGUCGAUUAUGCCCACAUACAAUAGUAUUCACUGUUACAAUCUCUAAUUACCGUAAUUUCCGGACUAUUAAACGCACCUGAAUAUAAGCCACACCCACUGAAUUAAAAAAAUAUAUAUAUUUUGAACAUAAAUAAGCCGCACAUGUCUAUAAGCCGCAGGUGCCUACCGGUACAUUGAAACAAAUGAACUUUACACAGGCUUUAACGAAACACGGCUUGUAACAAAAAUAAAUAGGCUUUAACGAAACACGACUUGUAACAAAAAUAAAUAGGCUUUAACGAAACACGGCUUGUAACAAAAAAUACAAAAUUUGCAGUAAGCUUUAAUUGUCUUUUUGCACUGAGUCAAUUCCUCACGCUGCUGUUUCCAACGUCUUAUCAUCGACUCAUUAAGACCAAGCUCCCGUGCAGCAGCUCUAUUUCCUUUUCCAACAGCCAGAUCAAUCGCCUUCAACUUGAAAGCUGCAUCAUAUGCAUUUCUCUGUGUCUUUGCCAUGAUGAGGGUGACAAAAUGACUACCGUAAUCAGAUUGAUGGGAAGUUUGAGAGCGCUCGAUUUAAUCUAAACAGUAAACUAAAAAGUUGUUUGACCUUAACCCGUUCGGCAAUUUCAUUGGUCUAAUGAAAGCUUCAUGCCGCCAAAAAACUGAGCACGUCACAGAAUGUGUUUUUUUGGAAAAAAAAAAAUGAAAGCGGGAAAAAUCCAUAUAUUAGCCGCGUCAUUGUUUAAGCCGCGAGGUUCAAAGCCUGGGAAAAAAGUUGCGGCUUAAAGUCUGGAAUUUACGGUAUGUACUGUAAUUAAGGUGUGAAAACCUUCAUUAUCUAACGUCUACAGUACAUGCUGCUUUUCACGUGGAUCAUGUUUAUUAUAUAUUUUUUUUGUAUCCUUCAGGCCCAAUAAAUGGUGUCUCAUUACCAAAUCUAACCACAUGUCAACAACUGUUAUUGUACUGUCUUCUUCAUCAUUACAGUGCCUUCAGAAAGUAUUCACACCCCUUGACUUUUCCCUCCAAAGAAUUGUGUUACAUGGAUUAAAUUGAGAGUUUUUUGUCACUGACCUACCGGUAUUAAAAAAAAAAAAAUCACCUUUAUUUAACCAGGCAGGCUAGUUGAGAACAAGUUCUCAAUUACAACUGCGACCUGGCCAAGAUAAAGCAAAGCAGUUCGACACAUACAACAACACAGAGUUACACAUGGAAUAAACAAACAUACAGUCAAUAAUACAGUAGAAAAAGUCUAUAUACAGUGUGCGCAAAUGAGGUAAGAUAAGGGAGGUAAGGCAAUAAAUAGGCCAUGGUGGCGAAGUAAUUACAAUAUAGUAAUUAAACACUGGAGUGAUGUGCAGAAGAUGAAUGUGCAAAUAGAGAUACUGGGGUGCAAAGGAGCAAGAUAAAUAAAUAUAUACAGUAUGGUAAUGCGGUAGUUGGAUGGGCUAUUUACAGAUGGGCUAUGUACAGGUGCAGUGAUCUGUGAGCUGCUCUGACAGUUGGUGCUUAAAGCUAGUGAGGGAGAUAUGAGUCUCCAGCUUCAGUGAUUUUUGCAGUUCGUUCCAGUCAUUGGCAGCAGGGAACUGGAAGGAAAGGCAGCCAAAGGAGGAAUUGGCUUUGGGGGUGACCAGUGAGAUAUACCUGCUGGAGCACGUGCUACGGGUGGGUGCUGCUAUGGUGACCAGUGAGCUGAGAUAAGGUGGGGCUUUACCUAGCAAAGACUUGUAGAUGACCUGGAGCCAGUUGGUUUGGCGACGAGUAUGAAGCGAUGGCCAGCCAACGAGAGCGUACAGGUUGCAGUGGUGGGUAGUAUAUGGGGCUUUGGUGACAAAACGGAUGGCACUGUGGUAGACUGCAUCCAAUUUGUUGAGUAGAGUGUUGGAGGCUAUUUUGUAAAUUGCAUCGCCGAAGUUGAGGAUCGGUAGGAUGGUCAGUUUUACGAGGGUAUGUUUGGCAGCAUGAGUGAAGGAUGCUUUGUUGCGAAAUAGGAAGCCGAAUCUAGAUUUAAUUUUGGAUUGGAGAUGCUUAAUGUGAGUCUGAGUCCAGAGUAGUGAUGCUGGACGGGCGGGCAGGUGCAGGCAGCGAUCGGUUGAAGAGCAUGCAUUUAGUUUUACUUGCAUUUAAGAGCAGUUGGAGGCCGCGGAAGGAGAGUUGUAUGGUAUUGAAGCUCGUCUGGAGGUUAGUUAACACACUGUCCACAGAAGGGCCAGAAGUAUACAGAAUGGUGUCGUCUGCGUAGAGGUGGAUCAGAGAAUCACCAGCAGUAAGAGCGACAUCAUUGAUGUAUACAGAGAAGUGAGUCGGCCCGAGAAUUGAACCCUGUGGCACCCCCAUAGAGAUUGCCAGAGGUCCGGACAACAGGCCCUCCGAUUUGACAUUGAACUCUAUCAGAGAAGUAGUUGGUGAACCAGGUGAGGCAGUCAUUUGAGAAACCAAGUGGGUUACACACAAUGAAAGGUAAUACCCUAUAAUACCUACACAAUACCCUAUAAUGUGAAAGUUGAACUAUGUUUUUAGAACAUUUUGCAAAUUAAUACAAAAUGAAAAGCUGAAAUGUAUUGAGUCAAUAAGUAUUCAAACCCUUUGUUAUGGCAAGUCUA
rnacentral:lncRNA from 8 species